ACGGGAGGCAGCAGUGGGGGAUAUUGUACAAUGGGGGAAACCCUGAUGCAGCGACGCCGCGUGAAUGAAGAAGUAUUUCGGUAUGUAAAGCUCUUUAAGUUGGGAAGAUAAUGACGGUACCAACAGAAUAAGCCCCGGCUAACUACGUGCCAGCAGCCGCGGUAAUACGUAGGGGGCAAGCGUUAUCCGGAUUUACUGGGUGUAAAGGGAGCGUAGACGGCAUAGCAAGUCUGAAGUGAAAUCAUAGGGCUCAACCCUGUAAUUGCUUUGGAAACUGUUAAGCUCGAGUACCGGAGGGGCAGGCGGAAUUCCUGGUGUAGCGGUGAAAUGCGUAGAUAUCAGGAAGAACACCGGUGGCGAAGGCGGCCUGCUGGACGGUAACUGACGCUGAGGCGCGAAAGCGUGGGGAGCAAACAGGAUUAGAUACCCUGGUA
rnacentral:rRNA from 1 species